rnacentral:rRNA from 1 species
GAUGAACGCUAGCUACAGGCUUAACACAUGCAAGUCGAGGGGCAGCAUGGUCUUAGCUUGCUAAGGCCGAUGGCGACCGGCGCACGGGUGAGUAACACGUAUCCAACCUGCCGUCUACUCUUGGACAGCCUUCUGAAAGGAAGAUUAAUACAAGAUGGCAUCAUGAGUCCGCAUGUUCACAUGAUUAAAGGUAUUCCGGUAGACGAUGGGGAUGCGUUCCAUUAGAUAGUAGGCGGGGUAACGGCCCACCUAGUCUUCGAUGGAUAGGGGUUCUGAGAGGAAGGUCCCCCACAUUGGAACUGAGACACGGUCCAAACUCCUACGGGAGGCAGCAGUGAGGAAUAUUGGUCAAUGGGCGAGAGCCUGAACCAGCCAAGUAGCGUGAAGGAGGACUGCCCUAUGGGUUGUAAACUUCUUUUAUAAAGGAAUAAAGUCGGGUAUGGAUACCCGUUUGCAUGUACUUUAUGAAUAAGGAUCGGCUAACUCCGUG